rnacentral:lncRNA from 1 species
UUUUUCUUCUCCCUGGUUCGAUGAACUUUUUCAAAAUUAGUGAUUUGUUUCCAAAAUUGAUGAACAGUUUUCCAACGUGGAUGAAAUUUUUCAAAUUUGAUGAACUUUCUAAAAUUUGAUGAACUUUUUUCAAAUUCGAUGAACUUUUUUCCAUUUUGAUAAGAAAAUUUUAAAUUUAAUGAACUUUUCUUCAAAUUUGAUGAUAUUUUUUCAAAUCGAUGAAUUUUUUAGAAUCAAUGAACUAUCUUCAAAAUUGAUGAACUAUUUUUAAACUCGAUGAAAUAUUUUCAAAAUCGAUGAACUUUUUUUCAAAAGCAUUGAACAUUUUCCAUUGACUGUUUGCAAAAUCGAUGAACUUUCUAAAAGUUUGUGAACUUUUCUUCAGAAAUGAUGGACAUUUUCAAAUCCAGGAUGUUUUAAAAAUAAUUCAGAACUCCAAGCUGUAUAAUAGACGCGGCCUCGCUUGUUCUUAUACCAUUGGCACUAUUAGCACUGACCAAUGACUAGUUUCUGUGGUGGUUAUUGA